UACAGAGGUCUCAAGCGUUGUUCGGAUUCAUUGGGGCGUAAAAGGGGUGCGUAGGUGGCGCUGUAAGUCGGGUGUGAAAUUUCGGAGCUUAACUCCGAAACUGCAUUCGAUACUGCGGUGCUUGAGGACUGGAGAGGAGACUGGAAUUCAUGGUGUAGCAGUGAAAUGCGUAGAGAUCAUGAGGAAGACCAGUGGCGAAGGCGGGUCUCUGGACAGUUCCUGACACUGAGGCACGAAGGCCAGGGAGCAAACGGG
rnacentral:rRNA from 1 species